AGGAAAAAUAGUUUAAGAAAAAUAAGUAAUUGUGACUUAUUAGUUGAGGAUUCCUCUUUUUCCA
rnacentral:tRNA from 1 species